rnacentral:rRNA from 1 species
GACGAACGCUGGCGGCGUGCUUAACACAUGCAAGUCGAACGGAAAGGCCCUGCUUUUGUGGGGUGCUCGAUUGGCGAACGGGUGAGUAACACGUGAGUAACCUGCCCUUGACUUUGGGAUAACUUCAGGAAACUGGGGCUAAUACCGGAUAGGAGCUCCUGCUGCAUGGUGGGGGUUGGAAAGUUUCGGCGGUUGGGGAUGGUCUCGCGGCUUAUCAGCUUGUUGGUGGGGUAUUGGCUUACCAAGGCUUUGACGGGUAGCCGGCCUGUGAGGGUGACCGGCGACAUUGGGACUGAGAUAGGGCCCAGACGCGUACGGGAGGCAGCAGUGGGGAAUAUUGCACAAUGGGCGGAAGCGUGAUGCAGAAAAGCAGCGUGCGGGAUGACGGCCUUCGGGUUGUAAACAGCUUUCGACUGUGACGAAGCGUGAGUGACGGUAAUGGGUAAAGAAGCACCGGCUAACUACGUG